rnacentral:rRNA from 1 species
AGUGAACGCUGGCGGCGUGCUUAACACAUGCAAGUCGAACGAGAACGGGUUAUAACUUGUUAUAACUGUCAGCUAAGUGGCGCACGGGUGAGUAAUGUAUAGGUAAUAUGCCUCUUACUAAGGGAUAACAAAUGGAAACGUUUGCUAAUACCUUAUACUCCUUAUUAACCUAAGUUAAUAAGGGAAAGAUUUAUUGGUAAGAGAUUAGCCUGUAUUGUAUCAGUUAGUUGGUGGGGUAAUGGCUUACCAAGACUAUGACACAUAACUGGUUUGAGAGGAUGAUCAGUCACACUGGAACUGAGACACGGUCCAGACUCCUACGGGAGGCAGCAGUGGGGAAUAUUGCACAAUGGACGAAAGUCUGAUGCAGCAACGCCGCGUGGAGGAUGACACAUUUCGGUGCGUAAACUCCUUUUAUAUGAGAAGAUAAUGACGGUAUUAUAUGAAUAAGCACCGGCUAACUCCGUGCCAGCCGCCGCGGUAAAAC